AUUCCAGCUCCAAUAGCGUAUAUUUAAGUUGCUGCAGUUAAAAAGCUCGUAGUUGGAUUUCGGGCGGUUGACGACGGUCCGCCUCUGGUGUGCACUGCCGUUCUUCCGCCUUUCUGUCGGGGACGUGCUCCUAGGCUUCAUUGUCUGGGACACGGGUUCGACGUGGUUACUUUGAGUAAAUUAGAGUGUUCAAAGCAGGCAUCGCCUUGAAUAUAUUAGCAUGGAAUAGCACGAUAGGACUCUGGCCUAUUUUGCUGGUCUGCAGGACCGGAGUAAUGAUUAAGAGGGACAGUCGGGGGCAUUCAUAUUUAAUUGUCAGAGGUGAAAUUCUUGGAUUUAUGAAAGAUGAACUCAUGCGAAAGCAUUUGCCAAGGAUGUUUUCAUUA
rnacentral:rRNA from 1 species